rnacentral:rRNA from 1 species
GACGUAGGGCGCGAGCGUUGUCCGGAUUUACUGGGCGUAAAGAGCGCGCAGGCGGUUGUGCAAGUCGCGUGUGAAAGCCCCCGGCUCAACUGGGGGGGUCACGCGAUACUGCUCAACUCGAAGGCAGGAGAGGGAAGUGGAAUUCCCGGUGUAGUGGUGAAAUGCGUAGAUAUCGGGAGGAGCACCUGUGGCGAAAGCGGCGCACUGGACCAUAACUGACGCUGAGGCGCGAAAGCUAGGGGAGCAAACAGG